AUCCUGGCUCAGGAUGAACGCUGGCGGCGUGCCUAAUACAUGCAAGUCGAACGCGAGCACUUGUGCUCGAGUGGCGAACGGGUGAGUAAUACAUAAGUAACCUGCCCUAGACAGGGGGAUAACUAUUGGAAACGAUAGCUAAGACCGCAUAGGUACGGACACUGCAUGGUGACCGUAUUAAAAGUGCCUCAAAGCACUGGUAGAGGAUGGACUUAUGGCGCAUUAGCUGGUUGGCGGGGUAACGGCCCACCAAGGCGACGAUGCGUAGCCGACCUGAGAGGGUGACCGGCCACACUGGGACUGAGACACGGCCCAGACUCCUACGGGAGGCAGCAGUAGGGAAUUUUCGGCAAUGGGGGAAACCCUGACCGAGCAACGCCGCGUGAAGGAAGAAGUAAUUCGUUAUGUAAACUUCUGUCAUAGAGGAAGAACGGUGGAUAUAGGGAAUGACGGUACUUUAUUAGAAAGCCACGGCUAACUACGUGCCAGCAGCCGCGGUAAUACGUAGGUGGCAAGCGUUAUCCGGAAUUAUUGGGCGUAAAGAGGGAGCAGGCGGCAGCAAGGGUCUGUGGUGAAAGCCUGAAGCUUAACUUCAGUAAGCCAUAGAAACCAGGCAGCUAGAGUGCAGGAGAGGAUCGUGGAAUUCCAUGUGUAGCGGUGAAAUGCGUAGAUAUAUGGAGGAACACCAGUGGCGAAGGCGACGAUCUGGCCUGCAACUGACGCUCAGUCCCGAAAGCGUGGGGAGCAAACAGGAUUAGAUACCCUAGUAGUCCACGCCGUAAACGAUGAGUACUAAGUGUUGGAUGUCAAAGUUCAGUGCUGCAGUU
rnacentral:rRNA from 1 species